rnacentral:tRNA from 1 species
GACCGCGUAGGUCAGUUGGAAGAGCAUUGGGCUAGUAUUCCAAAGGUCGUAGGUUCGAAUCCCACCGUGGUCG